GACGAACGCUGGCGGCGUGCUUAACACAUGCAAGUCGAACGGAAAGGCCCUGCUUGCAGGGUACUCGAGUGGCGAAAGGGUGAGAAACACGUGGGUGAUCUGUCCUGCACAUCGGGAUAAGCCUGGGAAACUGGGUCUCAUACCGGAUAGGAGACCUCUUUAUUGUGAUGGUUGGAAAGUUUUUUCGGUUUAGGAUGGGCUUGCGGCCUAUCAGGUUGUUGGUGGGGUAAUGGCCUACCAAGGCGGUGACGGGUAGCCGGCCUGAGAGGGUGGACGGCCACAUUGGGACUGGGAUACGGCCCAGGCCCCCACGGGAGGCAACAGGUGGGGAUAUUUCACAAUGGGGCGAAGCCUGAUGCAGCGACGGCGCGGGGGGGAUGACGGCCUUCGGGUUGUAAACUCCUUUCGCUAGGGACGAAGCUUUUUGUGACGGUAACUAGAUAAGAAGCACCGGCUAACUACGUG
rnacentral:rRNA from 1 species